CUUGCGACCGGAGCCAAAGGAGGACGUGAGGAAUGAGGGGAGGCGAUGAAGGCUGAGGGGAAGCAGAUGGAGAAAGGGCUUGGCAGCCGCUGCCUCGCGCAAUGCCCGUUUCACGACGAGUUCCUUCGCGAACGCCAGCUUGGCACGGCUGUGCCUGUGUGGGGGAGACAUGUUCAGUGAAGCUUGUCUUGAGAGUCUGAGGAAAACACCCGGUAUGGUGCCAUCAUUCAGAAAGAAGAUAUUUUCAUCUCUCUUGAAGCCCCCCUCCCCAAUCCAUCCCUCAAAGCAGCGAAGAAAUAUUCAAAGGUCUUGUGCAAACAGGAGGAGGCGACGAAGGCAGGCCAGGUGAACCCGCCUCCAGUCUGCAGGUUGUGCCAGCGCAUCCUCACCCGAGCGGAGGCGUUGGCAUGACCAGGGUGCAACGCCGGUGCCGGGGCAUCCAGUGGGUGACCUUGAAGAAUAUUUCAGCUGGCUGCUGGGCCCCUCCUUUGAGACUCCGGUUUCUGAAGAACGCCUCCUUGCCGAGAGAGGGAAACAGGUUCUGGCAGCUGGUUUUGGCGAGCUGCCUUUUGGAAAAGAGGAAUUUCAAGCUCACAGGGCGUGAGAGAGACAGGUGGGGGCGGAGGAGGGUUUCACUCUUCUGCACGGAGGAUGACACUGGUUUCCUGGAUGCUGCAGAAACUCUCUGGGAAGGGACCUGAGCUCAGUGGUAUUAUUAUUAUUAUUACUAUUAUUACUAUUACUAUUAUCUCAGCUCACGCAGAGCAUCUGAGCACUAUUGCUCAGUAUCACACUUUUCUGGCUUAUCUGUAAAUGCCCCCAAAAGCCGGGUGAGAGGCUACUUGGAAAUCCAUUGGACUUGCCCCCUCCUAGGUGCUCCCCCCCACUCCCAGCCACUCUCUCCCAGGUCACCUGCCCA